rnacentral:rRNA from 1 species
GGAAUCUUCGGCAAUGGGGGCAACCCUGACCGAGCAACGCCGCGNGAGUGAAGAAGGUUUUCGGAUCGUAAAGCUCUGUUGUAAGAGAAGAACGUGUGUGAGAGUGGAAAGUUCACACAGUGACGGUAACUUACCAGAAAGGGACGGCUAACUACGUGCCAG